AUUAAUAUAAAAAUAAAUUAAAUAUUUUAUGAAUAUUAUAUGAUUAAAUUAGCAAAUAAUAAAUAUUCUUAUUAAUGAAAAAAAUGGUACAACACAAAAUAAACUUAAAUUUAAGAGUUUGAAAUAUAACGCACAACAUAAAUCUCUAAUUUGACUAGUAAAUCAUUCUUCAUCAUUGAACGGCGGCCAAAUAUGCAACCAAAAAUAAAAAGAAAGAAAAGGAAAGAAACGUGAAUUAAGAAAAACAAAUGAAAGAAAGAAAGAAAAAGUAAAAAAAAAAGGAUAAAAAAUAAUUUAAAAUUUGAAGAGUAAAAGAAGGUGAAACCAUAUUUUCUCUGUGUUGUCUCCUCCGACUAUUUUCCCAUUCCC
rnacentral:lncRNA from 1 species